GGGCUGUUGGCUCUAUUAGUAAUAGAGCAACCGACUCUUACAUUAGCUUGUCAUAGGUUCAAUCCCUAUACAGCCCACCA
rnacentral:tRNA from 1 species